rnacentral:rRNA from 1 species
UACGAAGGGGGCUAGCGUUGCUCGGAAUUACUGGGCGUAAAGGGCGCGUAGGCGGAUAGUUUAGUCAGAGGUGAAAGCCCAGGGCUCAACCUUGGAAUUGCCUUUGAUACUGGCUGUCUUGAGUACGGGAGAGGUGAGUGGAACUCCGAGUGUAGAGGUGAAAUUCGUAGAUAUUCGGAAGAACACCAGUGGCGAAGGCGGCUCACUGGCCCGGUACUGACGCUGAGGUGCGAAAGCGUGGGGAGCAAACAGG